rnacentral:lncRNA from 1 species
AUGGCUCCUCGAGCAGCUCCUGAAGGCAGUGAUCCUAGGUAUCUGUCAUGCUCAAACUCCGGUAAGUAGAUCCACACCUGUAUAAGAAAACUUAAACCAACACUAUGUGAGACAAUAACAUUACCUAAGACACCUGCAAGACAUGAUUGAGGCUAUUUUUGCAAAAUGGCUUAUUUGGCCAAGAGGUGGCUAGAAGUGAAAAAUUUGGCUAAGACCCCGUAAAGCCAAGAACCUAAGAUUUACUAGGAAGACCAGACCCUAUGUAGGUUGCUUACGUAUUACGCCCCGAAAGACGAGAAUCAGGUUUGCAUAGUUCGGGCAAAUUGGAUACGGGCAAGAAUUAAAAAAACAACUAAUUUUAGAGAAAACAUUUUUUUUGUGUUUUUUUUGAAAAAUGAUGAAACAUGCAAAAUCAUUUUGGAUUUUCUUUUUCUUUUUUUUUGAUUUUUGAUUUUUUGGAAAAUGAUGAAAAAGUGCAAAAUCUUUUUUUUUGAAUUUUCAAGCUCUUUUUUUUCCUUAACAAAAAUGUGACAGAAAAUAUAAUUAGGCUCCACUCGCUUUAUCUUCACACUUCACCCUCUCUUUUUUUUUUCUUUUUUUUUUCAUUUGCCCUCAACUAUCAUUGGUCCGUCAAAUGACCCUUUUACCCUUAAAUAAACGCAACAUGUAGCACAUAGGAUGCAUCAAGAUGGUCUGUUAUUUUGAGUACACCUGUCCUAGACGGACUCAACCCCUGUGUUGAGUCCCCUAAGUCAAGUGCACAUGAUGCAAACAAACGUUCCUACUAGGGAUCUGGCAUGAGGCUGAGUUAUUCUAGGUUUAAAAACCUAGGUUUAUUUGUUCUAGACCUGGCUUACCCGAGCGGACAGCUCGAGCCGAGGGGGAGCAGCGUACCGGGAAUACAGAAGCUUUACCGGCUUUGCAACUUGUCCGAACCUCGUUCUAAAAUUUGGGAUAUGAACAGAAGAGAAGUCACACGAAGUGCACACUUCUCCAUGAUUUAGAAGACUCAGAGAGAGGAAGGGCUUCGUAGCAGUUUAUAUACAGUUCACAGAAUAUCAAAGAGGUAAAAGCAAUAAUUAGCCCAUUAGGCCCAAACAUGUAACAAAAUCAGAUAAUGGAUAAAGCCAACUAUAACAAUUAAUCUAAGCUCGAAUUCUUGAACCCUGAACCAGAGAUUCUGGGUUCUAUUCCCCAGCAGAGUCGCUAGAGCUGUCACACCUCCUUUUUCCUACCCCGAGGGGGAUAUAAGGGAGUUUUUUCCAAUUUAAGUGACAAUCGAAAUGGGAUUAUUUCAUUUAAAGAUUAAGAGUCGCCACUUGGGAUAACUUAUGGUGUCCCAAGUCACCGGUUUUAAAUCCCGAAUCGAGGAAAGAUUGACUAUGUUUCACAGUCCGCGAACACAGAAAUCCGCGUAAGGAAUUCUGUUAGCCUGGGAGAAGGUGUUAGGCAUUCCCGGGUUCUGUGGUUUUAGCACGGUCGCUCAACUAUUAUAUUGGCCUAAUUAUCUGAUUUUAAUACAUGUUUUAGCCUAUGGUAUAUUUUAAUUUAUUUGCCGCUUUUAAUUAAUUUUAGGAAGAUUCAACGUUAUCUAAAACACGUCUUGAACCACGCUACAUGAAAUGCACCUGCAGUUCAUGACACAUUUUAUUUACGCUGUUCAGAAUUGGAGUUGGGUCACAUGAAAUGCACACCCGAGUUUAAGGAAAUUAAUUUAAAUUACGCGCCUAAAGCAACUGCGCACUUUCAAGUUUGCGAGGGCCAUGAAAAAUUCAACUAAAUGGCACACCUCGAUUCUAUUUGUCAAAGAAAUCUUGAUCUAAUUCUAAGAGGGCCAUAAGUUAUAGACAAGAUAUUAUUGUGGAAAACACCCUUCAGUGGCAAGAACUAAUUUUUGGAGCAGCUAAAUUAAGUUCUUUAUCAAAAAUGAGCUAUAUCAGAUUUAAGGCAUCAAACUAAAUGAAAACGGAAAUAAACAAAUGCAAUCUGUCCCAUUACAAGGGCCAAUAAAGCACUACCAAAAAUUUGAGAUGCCAAAAAUUUGAUAGUAACAAUCAGAUCCAAACACAUGCGUCACAGAGAAAAAUAGAGGAAGAUGCAAAGCUAACCAACUCCCUGCUUCUUAGCUUUACCAUUUGAAAUGGUUGACAAUUUUUUGCAGAAUACUCAAAUUGGCAUGGAAUUUCAUUUGGCGCAAGAGACAUCAUUUAGGAAAUAAUGAAUGGAAUCAUCAUACUCAAAAUAUAGCAAUGUUAAAACCAUAGUGUCUUUAUGUCCAAAAGUACGUUUGCAAAUUUAGAAUACAAUUAAGACACUCCAAUGAAUGCAACCCAAUUAUAAAUAAUCAAGUUAUUUACAAAGUCAUUGUGGCCACAAUUUGGGUAAUCAUCCCUGUGCUACUCAUAUUGCCAAAGAAUCUCCCAAACUUUAAUGCCUACACCAAAUUAAUAUGAUAACUUCCAGUAAAAUUUUUAGACGUUCAUACAUGUUGGCUCUCAAACUUGACUGAAGCUAGUUGGAUUUUAUUUAGAAUUAGUCCAAACCAUUAUAUUCACAUUAGGCAACAAACUAUAUUUGAGCACUCCGCCUUACUUCAGUGAAUAAACAAAAUUUCACCAAUAUAUUCAAAUGCUCAAAGUAAAGAAAAAUCUUCCAACAACAACAUAAUAUAGGUAAAUAAAGCGACACUCAUAUAUACAUGCCAAAAAAAAUAUAAGUACGGACAGAGAGGAAAUCAAACAACAAUCAUGAUUUAGGAAUAGAAAAGUUGAUCAACCAGCUAGUUCAAUCAAAACAAUAGGAAAUCAAAGUGAUAAAUUGUACCUUUUAAGAAAUUCGGAUGAAGCCUUUUCCAAUGUUUGAUUCAAUACAAAAUGAAUUCCCCAGUGAAAGCUUCAAAAUAGAGCUUGAAAUAAGCCACAACUGUCGAACAAUUGAGGGAUGACACCCAGUAAUCUAGGAAGUAACACAGUCCAGCAGAAACAGUAGCAAUUUCCUUUACAAAACCGAAUUUUGGAAGCUCAUUUCCUUCUUAGAUUUGUUUUGUAAAAUUCAAAGAAACAACAGAAAAUCAUUCCUCAGUUGUUUCGUGUGUGCCGAUGGGGAGAUGAGGAGGAUGAAAGCGAGAUGAGAGAAUCAAGGAGAGGGUAUCACGGCUAGUUGGUGUUUUUCACAAACGAAGCUGAGGAAGACGACUUAGGGUGCGUCGUUUCUUCAGGAGUUGGAUCUGAUGGACUUUCUCACCCUCCUUUUUGGUUUUU